rnacentral:rRNA from 1 species
GACGUAGGGGGCCAGCGUUGUUCGGAAUUACUGGGUGUAAAGGGUUCGUAGGCGGUGUGGCAAGUCGGGAGUGAAAUCUCUGGGCUCAACUCAGAGACUGCUUCCGAAACUGCUGUGCUGGAGUGUGGGAGAGGCGCGUGGAAUUGCAGGUGUAGCGGUGAAAUGCGUAGAUAUCUGCAGGAACACCCGUGGCGAAAGCGGCGCGCUGGGACGGUACUGACGCUAAGGCGCGAAAGCGUGGGGAGCGAACAGGA